rnacentral:lncRNA from 1 species
UCCAAGCCUCUCCGAUCAUCAGAGCAGAACAGAGCCAAGACGAUGGCAGCAACCAUGGCGACAUCAGCCACGUGCAUGUCCCUAAACCCAUCUCCUCCUAAACUCCAAAACCAAACCAAACCCAAACCAUUCAUCUCCCUCCCAAACCCAACAAAACCCAACGUAUCUCUCGCUGUCUCAAGCACUGCCCUAGCUGGAGCCGUCUUCUCAUCCCUCAGCUACUCUGAGCCAGCCUUAGCC